CUUACAUCUUGGAACUCUCUAGUGACUUCAAAUUACUCAAUGAGAAGACACAAUGGAGUCGCUAGGGAAAUUUUACCCUCCAAUGCCUGGGCUUUGCACUUACAUGAACCGUUUUUAUGCUAUUUUAUAACAGAAUCAUUUGUCUCCUUACCCUUUUUGGGGGCGGGCACCACCAGGCUCCUAUUGGGCAGUGUGAUUUUCCCCUAGCACCACUGCAUUUUUUCAUUUCUUUCUAGUAUCAUUGUGGCCUUAGGCUUUUUGUAAACCCAGCUGGUUCCAAUUAAGUAUAAUCACUGUUUUCUUUCUGAUGAUCUAAAAGUAGAACUAAACUAGGGUCACUGCCCUCAAGAGACUUAAAUUCUGUUUGGAAAAACAAGAUCCAACAUACAUGAAAAACACAGUGAACAAAAGGAUGUGGCGAGGUGUGUGAGACUUCUGACGCAGACCUGAUGUGGGUGGAUGUGGGUUACGCCUUUCCUUGCACACAGUUCUUUGAAUGCAGUAGGCUACGAAAUUUGUUCUCGUUGCAGUGCAGACCUGAAUCUGGGCCACUGAUGGAUUCAAUACCCACAGGAUAUCUGUUCCAGACAAGCUGCCAAAGGACAAACGGCUUCUUCUCCACAUCGUCCACAGGACAGCUGGCUGCUGCCUGAUGAUUCACUAGGAGGCCUGGCCCCUUGACAGAGCAAAUUCCAGUGAGGACUGCAAAUGGCUUCCAGUGUCUGUUUGCCCAAGGCCUCCUGGGAACUGAGGGCCUGGCAUGAGCACAGCGGGGAACUGCAAACCAGGCCUCAGCUCGAACACGACUCCACCUUGCACCAUCCUUCCGGGAGCGGAAGGGACCUUUGGGGACCCUCGGAGAGUUCGCUGCUGCGCUGUAGCCCAGACUGACUGAGCCCAGAUCAUCUUAGAAUAUCAGAUGAGUGGGAGAGAAGGACAUCGAGGUGGUGAUGGGAGGUUCUUACUAUGUAGUUCAGGCUGGCCUGGAAUUCAUGGAGAUCCUCCUGCCUCAGCCUCCUGAGUGCUAGGAUUACAGGCAUUUUAUCCUGUCUGCUGUCUCUCACUCAUCACUUCCCUGAGGAAAGUUCAAAUUCAAAACAAAACAGCCGUUUUUGCAAAGCCAGCCGUUUUGCUCCACGGACCUGGGAAAGAUUUGAUGUAAAACCAGUUCUCAGGAAGCUGCACAUGAUUCACAGAUCUUAAUGCUGCCGGAGGCACAGAGUGCAAAGGAGAGAGCGGGGAAGAGAGGAAUGUAGCUGUCUCACCUUGGAAAGGGGGUAAACUGAGGCAAGGCUCAGCCGGAAAGUGAGUGAUAGGAAUCAACAGGAGGCACCACCGCUGCCAUUUCAUCUGGUUCAGUGUUCAUCCAGUGACUCUCCUCUCCGAGCCUUCUGCAGACACAGACAGGCAUUCAGAAACCAGCCUGCUGGAGACAUUACAGACUCGGGCAGCAGAGUGGGGUGAUGGGACACAGGAAGGUCGACAUUCAGAGAUGGG
rnacentral:lncRNA from 1 species